ACCUGACUGCUAUCGGAUUGAUACUAAGCCAUGCGAGUCAUUGUAGCAAUACAAGGCAUACGGCUCAGUAACGCGUAGUCAACCUAACCUAUGGACGGGAAUAACCUCGGGAAACUGAGAAUAAUUCCCGAUAGAACAUUAUACCUGGAAUGGUUUAUGUUCCAAAUGAUUUAUCGCCGUAGGAUGGGACUGCGGCCUAUCAGUUUGUUGGUGAGGUAAUGGCCCACCAAGACUAUUACAGGUACGGGCUCUGAGAGGAGUAGCCCGGAGAUGGGUACUGAGACACGGACCCAGGCCCUAUGGGGCGCAGCAGGCGAGAAAACUUUGCAAUGUGCGAAAGCACGACAAGGUUAAUCCGAGUGAUUUGUGCUAAACGAAUCUUUUGUUAGUCCUAGAAACACUAACGAAUAAGGGGUGGGCAAGUUCUGGUGUCAGCCGCCGCGGUAAAACCAGCACCUCAAGUGGUCAGGAUGAUUAUUGGGCCUAAAGCAUCCGUAGCCGGCUCUGUAAGUUUUCGGUUAAAUCUGUACGCUUAACGUACAGGCUGCCGGGAAUACUGCAGAGCUAGGGAGUGGGAGAGGUAGACGGUACUCGGUAGGAAGUGGUAAAAUGCUUUGAUCUAUCGAUGACCACCUGUGGCGAAGGCGGUCUACCAGAACACGUCCGACGGUGAGGGAUGAAAGCUGGGGGAGCAAACCGGAUUAGAUACCCGGGUAGUCCCAGCUGUAAACUAUGCAAACUCAGUGAUGCAUUGGCUUGUGGCCAAUGCAGUGCUGCAGGGAAGCCGUUAAGUUUGCCGCCUGGGAAGUACGUACGCAAGUAUGAAACUUAAAGGAAUUGGCGGGGGAGCACCACAAGGGGUGAAGCCUGCGGUUC
rnacentral:rRNA from 1 species